UACCUGCAGCUCAAGUGGUGACCGCUAUUAUUGGGCCUAAAGCGUCCGUAGCCGGCUGAGUAAAUGCCUGGGUAAAUCGUGUGGCUUAACCAUACGAAUUCCGGGUAGACUGCUUAGCUUGGGACCGGAAGAAGUUAGAGGUACUCCUGGGGUAGGGGUGAAAUCCUGUAGCCCUGGGGGGACCACCAGUGGCGAAGGCGUCUAACUAGGACGGGUCUGACGGUGAGGGACGAAGCCCUGGGGCGCAAACCGGAUUAGAUACCCGGGUAGUCCAGGGUGUAAACGCUGCUUGCUUGAUGUUAGCUGGGCUCCGAGCUCGGCUAGUGUCGGAGAGAAGUUGUUAAGCAAGCUGCCUGGGAAGUACGGUCGCAAGACUGAAACUUAAAGGAAUUGGCGGGGGAGCGCAGCAACGGGUGGAGCGUGCGGUUU
rnacentral:rRNA from 1 species